rnacentral:rRNA from 1 species
AGUGAAUGCUGGCGGUAGGCCUAACACAUGCAAGUCGAACGGCAGCACAGUAAGAGCUUGCUCUUACGGGUGGCGAGUGGCGGACGGGUGAGGAAUACAUCGGAAUCUACUUUUUCGUGGGGGAUAACGUAGGGAAACUUACGCUAAUACCGCAUACGACCUACGGGUGAAAGCAGGGGAUCUUCGGACCUUGCGCGAUUGAAUGAGCCGAUGUCGGAUUAGCUAGUUGGCGGGGUAAAGGCCCACCAAGGCGACGAUCCGUAGCUGGUCUGAGAGGAUGAUCAGCCACACCGGAACUGAGACACGGUCCAGACUCCUACGGGAGGCAGCAGUGGGGAAUAUUGGACAAUGGGCGCAAGCCUGAUCCAGCCAUACCGCGUGGGUGAAGAAGGCCUUCGGGUUGUAAAGCCCUUUUGUUGGGAAAGAAAAGCAGCAGGUUAAUACCCCGCUGUUCUGACGGUACCCAAAGAAUAAGCACCGGCUAACUUCGUG